CUUCUUCGAAGAUCUUGAGUGACCGUUCGCGACACCACAGGGCUUGGUAAAGGCGUUUGGUAUCCACUAGCACACCACCGCCGCGCACAGUGUGCGUUCCGUCUAUUUCUUUGCUGCGGUGUCUCUUUCCGAUUUAUCAUCUCUUUCAUUCCACCGCGUGCAGCCGAUGGCGCGUCGGUGUGUUCGUAGUUGGUCCAGUGCUACACGGGAGCCAGCGCAGCUUUUCACGCAAACGGCUGAGCUCGGCAAUGCCGGCUCAGAUCUCGAUGGAGCUGCUGGCUGUAGCAUAGGGAGGGGAUAAGCGCUCUUGUCCAGCAGUGUGAAUGGUGCUUACUCUGCUGAGGGGCUCUUAUACGCUAUAUUCCUGAUCCUGUGCGUGUCGUUGCCCGUGACGGAAUGCCGAUCAUGACAAAGUACUUAGCUGCGUUACUCGAGCACCCCAUCGCUUUCACGGUUGGCACAACAGCCACGACCGAUGUGCUGCUGCCCGUGUCGAUGACUCACCUGCUCGACGCUGGCGCGGAGGCGUUCGACUAGGAGUGCAUGUACGACCUUCUUAAAAGAUGCGACCAACACCAGCUCCUGUUUGCACUGGUUGCUGUGCUGAUGAUGCAGGUGAUCCACCUGCAGCUGGCUGCGUUAUCUGAGCGGUGACCAAAGGGAAGCAAGCGGGCCGAUGUGCGCCGCAUGGACGUGGUCGCUGUGGACGACUGCUAUGGAUCGGCGGCAUCCUGCUGUACCUCGCCUUCACGCUGCUGCUUGGUGACUUUGUGGCCGAUGUGAAGCACUACUGCUGCGAUGGGCAGGGGCACCGCACGGUGAAGAAGAUCAUGCUGUUUGUGUCUCUGUGGGUGGGUAUGGGGCUGAUGGCGCUUGUGGGCAGCUGACUGGGCAGCGUGACCUUUGCCAUUUGUGGGUUGCGAGUCUGUCCGCGUGUGAGCGUCUGUAUGGGGUGCACGCGUAUCGUGGCGGCCGUCGUAUGCGGCGAACGAAGGAGCGUGCAGAGCGGCAUUCGCUGCCUGGAGUGACUUGCGUCCCUCUCGGUCUGUGUUGUCGUCGUUUCUUGGCGUAUCUGAGGGGACGACCGUCUUUUUGUUUCUGUGCCAGCCGCGAUCCAUACAGAAGCGGAACGCGAUUGAUUGCGAUGCGUGGUGAGCCAGUAUGCGAACCAUUAGCUGACGGUUUCAUCCGCUUGCUCGCGUAGGGCUGCGUUGCAUGCGCGCUUGUAGGCAAGCAACGCUUCGGUGAAUCUUGUAUGAGUUUCUGAGCGGCACAUCGCCUGCUUGACGGAUUCGCCAAUUUUAACGGCUUACUGCUCCCUUGCACGCCUGUUUUCGUGAGUGCAGCGCUGUCGUUGGGCGCAUGGGACAUUUUUGAGCGUCGGCGUUGUUGUCGAUGGUCACAGUGACGUGCCCAAGCGUGCGUAUGCUUGUGAGCUUUAGUGUCUCUCUCUCUUUGCCUCGUCUCCUCUCCUCCUCCUCUGGUGUCUGUGCGGGAUCGCCGCUUGCGCAUUCUCCUUUUACGCGCGCGUGUGCGUGUGUCUUGCCGGUCACACGGAUCACUGUUUUCCUCUUGUUGUUCCUGCGCUCCCAACCGCCUCGGCAACUGCUGUGCGCCUCCUUUUCUCCCGAUUUUCAACUUUUUGUGAGUCGGUAG
rnacentral:misc_RNA from 1 species